AAAGACUCUCGACAACGGAUAUCUCGGCUCUUGCAUCGAUGAAGAACGUAGCGAAAUGCGAUACUUGGUGUGAAUUGCAGAAUCCCGUGAACCAUCGAGUCUUUGAACGCAAGUUGCGCCCGAAGCCAUUAGGCUGAGGGCACAGCCUGCCUGGGUGUUGCACAU
rnacentral:rRNA from 1 species